rnacentral:lncRNA from 1 species
AUGUUACGUCUUUUAAAUAAUUGAUGACUCUCAGUCCGAGCCAGCUUGAAGGAAAUUCUGAAAAUAGAGCUGACAAUUUACUGGUUCAUCAAUGAAACAAUAUUACAUUAUGAAGAUGUAAGGAAAAAAUUCUACGCUAACAUUGUUGCAGUUUGAAAGUUUGCAGGUCCCCCUAACAAUCUGCGGCAAUUUCCCAACCAGCUGUUGGUGUCCUAGGGCCCGGUGCUUUGUCUCCGUUUUCUUGAGCUAUCAAAUCAUCCUAUAAAGGGGAUUACCUGAGGGCUGUUGUUUCCCAGGUUUGUAUUUAGCGGCCGGUUUGUUGUUUUGUU